rnacentral:rRNA from 1 species
CCUACGGGAGGCAGCAGUGGGGAAUAUUGGACAAUGGGGGGAACCCUGAUCCAGCGACGCCGCGUGAGUGAAGAAGUAUUUCGGUAUGUAAAGCUCUAUCAGCAGGGAAGAAAAUGACGGUACCUGACUAAGAAGCCCCGGCUAACUACGUGCCAGCAGCCGCGGUAAUACGUAGGGGGCAAGCGUUAUCCGGAUUUACUGGGUGUAAAGUGAGCGUAGACGGUGCAGCAAGUCUGAUGUGAAAGGUAGGGGCCCAACCCCGGGACUGCAUUGGAAACUGUUGAACUGGAGUACAGGAGAGGUAAGCGGAAUUCCUAGUGUAGCGGUGAAAUGCGUAGAUAUUAGGAGGAACACCAGUGGCGAAGGCGGCUUACUGGACUGUAACUGACGUUGAGGCUCGAAAGCGUGGGGAGCAAACAGGAUUAGAUACCCGAGUAGUC